AUACUGUAGUGCAUGGGUGGAUGUGUUUUUAAAUCUAUGCAUGACCAUUGCAAGCUAAAAUAGACAUUUUCUACUGUGCAAUAUGUUAAUACUUACUGUAUGAAUUGUCUCAAUUCUUACUCAUACAUGAGUGGGAAAGAAUGAAGAGAGAAAGAAAUGCAUUGCAGACUCAGCCUCCCAACAACAGAAAGAAGAAGGACAACUUGGAGGAGUGGAAGGUGGAGCCAGCGGGCUGUUAUUUCAGCACAGGAUGAUGAGCACAGAAACCAUGCCAGUGGGAAUGAGAUAUGGAUGAGAUUGAAUGUGUAGGAUACGAUCGGUGCUUCAUAUUGGGUAGCUUUCCCCAAAAGAGGGAAUUGGAGACAAAGAGGCUUGCCAAGAACCAUAGAACCAG
rnacentral:lncRNA from 1 species